UUUUUAUAUUGAUUGUAUUAAAUUAUUGAAGCACAGUGCAUUUAUUUGUCUGUUUUUCUUCCAGUGAGAUGGAACUUUGCAGUGCAGAGUGUGGAGAGGAGGAGUGGAGGAGGAGGAGGCUUAUAUCCGUAUUGUCAUACAAAAUACAGGUACACUGGAGACAACUAUGAAUUGUAUUUGUCCCUCCUCCAACUAUAUUGUAUAUCUGUCUUUUUUUCAUAGGCACAGAAAUGGGAGACAUGUCAAAGCAAAGAAGUCAAUGUGAAAAGAAACCAAGGGAUUCAGUGGGACAUACGUACUCACAUACCUCAUGUUCCCAGAUUCUACCUGGGUCCAGGCUGGGUCAGGCGGACUGCUGAGGUCUUGAAGCGGGACCAUCAAGCUCAAGAGACAAAGCACCAUGGCCUGUGUGCUCCACGCUUCUACAUACAGUAUUUACUCUGUCCUUGCUCUUUGCAGCAAGUACUCAAUUAUUAUUAUUAUUUUUUUUGAGCUCCAACACCAGCCAGAUGUGAUCCUACAGAAAGAGAGGAGGAGGGAAAAACAGUGACACUGACACAAGCAACUAAAAUACAGUACAGUGAGAUGGAAUUUUACAGUGCAGACUGGAGAGGAGUGGAGGAGGAGGUUUAUAUCUAUAUUGUCAUACAAAAUACAGAUACACUGGAGACCAUCAAGCUCAAGAGACAAAGCACCAUGGCGUCACAGUUCUACAUACAGUAUUUACUCUGUCCUUGCCCUUUGCAGCAACUACCCAAAACCAUCUAUGGUAUACUAUUCACUGUGUUUGGAAUACUUAGAUUUUACUAUUGAAUCUAUAGCAGCCAGCUAUUAGCAAAAAGUGUGACCAAAAUAAUACAUUAAAAUUAGGGAACAUAGACACUCCUGUAGGUGCUCCACCUGCUGUUUGGAAUAAAGGAACACAUGACGACAUAUAAUGGACAAAAUGCUUCCAACACCAGGCAGAUGUGAUCAUAUAGAAAGAGAGGAGGAGGGAAAAACGGUGAAAAAGACAAAAACAACUAAUAUACAGUACAGUGACAUGGAACUUUGCAGUGCAGACUGUGGAGAGGAGGAGUGGAGGAGGAGGCUUAUAUCCAUAUUGUCAUACAAAAUACAGGGACAGAAAUGGGAGACAUGUCAAAAGAAAACACCAUGUGUGGCUCCUUUGGGUAUUUUGGGAUUUCAAGGGGAAUCAAGUGAAAUGGAACUUUUGAGUGUGGAGAGGAGAAGUGGCAGAGGAAGCUAAUAGCCACAUUGUCAUACAAAGUAGGACUGCUGAGGUCCUGAGGUGGGACUGUCCUGCGACCAGCUCAGAAGGCAAAGCACCAUGGCCUGUGUGCUCCGUGUUUCUCCAUGACGACCUGAGUGCUGUCCACCAACCUGUAGCAAUGCCUCUGAUGUCCCAUGUCCCUUUUCUUUUGAGCUUCCAACACAGAAAAGGCCAGAAGUAAAUGGGAGACAUGUCAAAAAGUAGUCAAUGUCAAAAGAAAACAGAAGCCUUACAGUAUAUGUGUCUGUUUUGGAUAUUUGGGGGAAGUCUAGGUAUGCAGAAGGCCCUGCGUUCCGGAGUCCGCCAUGAGGUCCAGGCUGGCGAAACUGUCGUGUGACCAACUCACAGCAGAUGGAACUGUGGAGAGGAGGAGUGGAAGAGGAGGCUUAUAUCCAGGGACAGAAAUGGAAGGCUGUUUUGCUGGUGGCCUAACCACUGCCAGACGUGUCAGUGAUAUUCAUCCUUUAUCAGGACAGAAAUGGGAGACAUCUCAAAGCGGAGAAGUGAAUGUCAAAAGAAAACCGGGAAAACAUGGAUUGGGAAAAAAAGGUUCUCCAUGUUGGGCAUUAAGAGUAAAACAUCCAGUUAGUGUCGAACAAGAGAGAAG